rnacentral:rRNA from 1 species
GGGGAAUAUUGGGCAAUGGGCGCAAGCCUGACCCAGCAACGCCGCGUGAAGGAAGAAGGCUUUCGGGUUGUAAACUUCUUUUAAGAGGGAAGAGCAGAAGACGGUACCUCUAGAAUAAGCCACGGCUAACUACGUGCCAGCAGCCGCGGUAAUACGUAGGUGGCAAGCGUUGUCCGGAUUUACUGGGUGUAAAGGGCGUGCAGCCGGGUCUGCAAGUCAGAUGUGAAAUCCAUGGGCUCAACCCAUGAACUGCAUUUGAAACUGUAGAUCUUGAGUGUCGGAGGGGCAAUCGGAAUUCCUAGUGUAGCGGUGAAAUGCGUAGAUAUUAGGAGGAACACCAGUGGCGAAGGCGGAUUGCUGGACGAUAACUGACGGUGAGGCGCGAAAGUGUGGGGAGCAAACAGGAUUAGAUACCCUGGUAGUCCACGCUGUAAACGAUGAAUACUAGGUGUGGGAGGACUGACCCCUUCCGUGCCGCAGUUAACACAAUAAGUAUUCCACCUGGGGAGUACGACCGCAAGGUUGAAACUCAAAGGAAUUGACGGGGGCCCGCACAAGCAGUGGAUUAUGUGGUUUAAUUCGACGCAACGCGAAGAACCUUACCAGGAUUUGACAUCCAACUAACGAAGUAGAGAUACAUUAGGUACCCUUCGGGGGAAGUUGAGACAGGUGGUGCAUGGUUGUCGCCAGCUCGUGUCGUGAGAUGUUGGGUUAAGUCCCGCAACGAGCGCAACCCCUAUUGUUAGUUGCUACGAAAGAGCACUCUAGCGAGACUGCCGUUGACAAAACGGAGGAAGGCGGGGACGACGUCAAAUCAUCAUGCCCCUUAUGUCCUGGGCUACACACGUAAUACAAUGGCGGUUAACAGAGGGAGGCAAAGCCGCGAGGCAGAGCAAAUCCCUAAAAGCCGUCUCAGUUCGGAUUGCAGGCUGCAACUCGCCUGCAUGAAGCUGGAAUUGCUAGUAAUCGCGGAUCAGAAUGCCGCGGUGAAUACGUUCCCG